rnacentral:rRNA from 1 species
GAUGAACGCUAGCGGCAGGCUUAACACAUGCAAGUCGAGGGGCAGCGCGGUGUAGCAAUACAUUGGCGGCGACCGGCGCACGGGUGCGUAACACGUAUGGAACUUACCCUUUACUGGGAGAUAGCCCGGAGAAAUCCGGAUUAAUAUCCCAUAAUAAACGAAGUGGCAUCACUUUGUUUUGAAAGCUCCGGCGGUAAAGGAUGGCCAUGCGCACGAUUAGCUAGUAGGUGAGGUAACGGCUCACCUAGGCUACGAUCGUUAGGGGGCCUGAGAGGGUUAUCCCCCACACUGGUACUGAGACACGGACCAGACUCCUACGGGAGGCAGCAGUGAGGAAUAUUGCGCAAGUGGAGGCAACUCUGACGCAGCCAUGCCGCGUGCAGGAAGAAGGCGCUUACGCGUUGUAAACUGCUUUUAACCGGGAAGAAACGAGUGGACUUGUCCGCUCCUGACGGUACCUGGGGAAUAAAGGCAACCGGCUAACUCCGUGCCAGCAGCCGCGGUAA